rnacentral:rRNA from 1 species
CUAAGAAUAUUCCGCAAUGGACGGAAGUCUGACGGAGCGACGCCGCGUGGAUGACGAAGGCCGAAAGGUUGUAAAGUUCUUUUGCUGGGGAAGAAUAACCGCAGGAGGGAAUGCCUGUGGGAUGACAAGAACCGGCGAAUAAGCCCCGGCCAACUACGUGCCAGCAGCCGCGGUAACACGUAGGGGGCGAGCGUUGUUCGGAAUUACUGGGCGUAAAGGGCAUGUAGGCGGCUUGGAAAGCCUGGCGUGAAAGUCUGCAGCUUAACUGCAGGGGUGCGCUGGGAACUGCUGAGCUUGAGUGACGGAGAGGGAGCUGGAAUUCCUGGUGUAGGAGUGAAAUCUGUAGGUAUCAGGAAGAACACCGAUGGCGAAGGCAAGCUCCUGGCCGAUGACUGACGCUGAGGUGCGAAAGUGUGGGGAUCAAACAGGAUUAGAUACCCUGGUAGUCCACACAGUCAACGAUGUGCACUAGGUGCUGGGGCGGUAGCUUCGGUGCCGGAGCGAACGUGGUAAGUGCACCGCCUGGGGAGUAUGCUCGCAAGGGUGAAACUC